AGAGUUUGAUCAUGGCUCAGGACGAACGCUGGCGGCAUGCCUAAUACAUGCAAGUCGAGCGAACAGAUGAAGUGCUUGCACUUCUGACGUUAGCGGCGAACGGGUGAGUAACACGUAAGGAAUCUACCUAUAAGCGGGGGAUAACAUUCGGAAACGGGUGCUAAUACCGCAUAAUAUCUUCUUCCGCAUGGAAGAAGAUUGAAAGACGGCUCUGCUGUCACUUAUAGAUGACCUUGCGGUGCAUUAGUUAGUUGGUGGGGUAACGGCCUACCAAGACGAUGAUGCAUAGCCGACCUGAGAGGGUGAUCGGCCACAUUGGGACUGAGACACGGCCCAAACUCCUACGGGAGGCAGCAGUAGGGAAUCUUCCGCAAUGGGCGAAAGCCUGACGGAGCAAUGCCGCGUGAGUGAAGAAGGCCUUCGGGUCGUAAAACUCUGUUAUAAGAGAAGAACAAAUUGUAGAGUAACUGCUACAGUCUUGACGGUAUCUUAUCAGAAAGCCACGGCUAACUACGUGCCAGCAGCCGCGGUAAUACGUAGGUGGCAAGCGUUGUCCGGAUUUAUUGGGCGUAAAGGGAGCGCAGGUGGUUUCUUAAGUCUGAUGUGAAAGCCCACGGCUUAACCGUGGAGGGUCAUUGGAAACUGGGAAACUUGAGUACAGAAGAGGAAUGUGGAACUCCAUGUGUAGCGGUGGAAUGCGUAGAUAUAUGGAAGAACACCAGUGGCGAAGGCGACAUUCUGGUCUGUUACUGACACUGAGGCUCGAAAGCGUGGGGAGCAAACAGGAUUAGAUACCCUGGUAGUCC
rnacentral:rRNA from 1 species